rnacentral:rRNA from 1 species
AGUGAACGCUGGCGGUAGGCCUAACACAUGCAAGUCGAACGGCAGCACAGUAAGAGCUUGCUCUUACGGGUGGCGAGUGGCGGACGGGUGAGGAAUACAUCGGAAUCUACUUUUUCGUGGGGGAUAACGUAGGGAAACUUACGCUAAUACCGCAUACGACCUACGGGUGAAAGCAGGGGAUCUUCGGACCUUGCGCGAUUGAAUGCGCCGAUGUCGGAUUAGCUAGUUGGCGGGGUAAAGGCCCACCAAGGCGACGAUCCGUAGCUGGUCUGAGAGGAUGAACAGCCACACUGGAACUGAGAAACGGUCCAGACUCCUAAGGGAGGCAGCAGUGGGGAAUAUUGGACAAUGGGCACAAGCCUGAUCCAGCCAUACCGCGUGGGUGAAGAAGGCCUUCGGGUUGUAAAGACCUUUUGUUGGGAAAGAAAAGCAGCAGGUUAAUACCCCGCUGUUCUGACGGUACCCAAAGAAUAAGCACCGGCUAACUUCGUG